AUUUCUCGUUUGGCUGUUGCCCCGAAUAGACGGUUAGCGGAAGUUUGAGUUUGAGUUUAACUAAAAUCUAUAAAAGUUGAAAUAUCUAGAGAAACGGAAAAUACAUCAGAACCGAAAGCAAUUUGUCUUGUGUGUGCAAGUUGAUGGAUAAAAGAAUUGAAAAGUGCUGACAGUGCUACCCGGAAAUUGGAACACCAAAACGUCAACAUAAUUACGCGGCAAUAAUUUUCAAAAACCCAAAAAGAUCAUCAGAAAUCAAAUUGGUCCCGUGUGACAUAGAUACAGAUUGCGGGUCGAUCGAUCGAAAAGUGCUGCCUAUUGGAUACCCAUAUUCGAAUACCGAUCGUUGGGAAGUGCACUUCGCAUACAGGAAAACAGCAUUAUGAUGUCCAGAAGAGCUCUUCUAAUUGCCGGACUCCUACUGAUCGUGUGCAGUGCCGCGGUGUUCUCCUACCCACAACUCUCACUUGACGAUGACCAAAUGCAGGCCGAUGAUGACUUCGACUACGGAGGAGAGGACCAGAGUGCCCCCAGUCCGCAGACGAAGUCCUCCAAUCCCGUGACCAGCGACAAGAUCAACAAGACCCUCAGUGUGACGGGCAUCCGUGGCGAGGAUGUGGUGCUCAAGUGCGACGUGGGCAUCGAUCUGCACAGCUCAGACGACGUGGUGGUGCUGUGGUUCUUCGGGGAUAAUGUCAUUUCCAAUGGCAAGAACCUGGUGCAGCCCAACUUCAAACUAGACGCCAACUACGACCUGACCAUCCUGAAGGCAAGUCCCCAGGUGGCUGGCAGCUAUCUCUGCAAGGUGCUGCCCUCCGGAUCCGUGGUCAACACGAAGGUCUCCAUUGCCGAGCAUUCCCUGGACGCCAUUGCACCGGAAAGCUCCACAUCGGCGGCGGCAUCUGCGAGCAGUUUUCUGGGAUGCACAGUUGUGGGAUCGAUGGCGUUGCUCCUCCUGGGGAUGGGCACACAUUAGCUUAGUUUAGUAUUACGCUGGUGGAACAUUGCCACCUCUUCUACACUCUCCACUCUACUCACAGGAAAUGAGCAUUUGAAGUCUUUGUUGAUUGUAAAUUUUUUGUAUUUGUAAAGACACAAAAUCAACUUUAUUUAUUAAAUAAAAAAGGAACCAAAGUAAACAUAGCCGCAACGAUCGCUUACUGCCUCUAAAAAAAAUGCACACGUUAAAUCCGUUUAGUUUAUUUUAUUUGCUUACUUAUCGCGGACUCAACGAAAAUUACAAUAUUCAUGUCGGCAUUCGAAAUCAGGUCCUCGUCAAAAAACUUUGCUUAUGGAACUUUAUUUUUGUGGCGUUUUGAUUUGAUUUAGCGAGCAAUCAGUUGCGUUUGAUUGCUUCGAUUGGCACGUUUAUUGAUCAGCUCUAAUGUUAUGAUUCUUAAAUAAAACAUUUAUAAAAUAUAUAUAUAUGUAUAUAUAUUCCCACACUCACAAUUGGAUUACUCAUACGUACAGUGUACAUGGUCAGCAUGUUAUGGCGCUAUUCCUCAGGUAUGGUAGCAGAAUCAAGGACAUGUGUAAAGCCAAACCCGAUCAUUAACUACUGUUAAUACAGUAGACGGUACACAGUGUAUAUUAUAUAUUAUAUGCUAUAUGUAUAUGGCUCCCAUGGACUUAUUCAGUAUCGCCUAGGCAUAGGUACAUAUGCGUUCUUGCGUUUUGAUUUGUAUAUUUUGAAUCGUUCUGUUCCAUUGAGUGUUGAUGUGGCGUAGUUUCGUAAAAAUAAGUUUCAUAUGUAUGUUGUGUGGUAGGUA
rnacentral:misc_RNA from 1 species